rnacentral:telomerase_RNA from 1 species
CCCAGGGAUCUUCCGUCUUCCACACCAGCGGCGCUCUGUCAGUCGACCUCAGACCAUUCGUGCUUGACCCGAUUUCCAGACUGUUUUGGCCUCUCGCUCAAAUUUGACACCUGUGCCGCAGAGCUUCCAUUGACUCUCACUUCCUCCAUGAUUGUACCUGCCGUCCACUGACCGCUUUGCCUUGCCCUCUCUGCUCGCAGUCGCAGCAACUGUACAGAGUUUGUCCCCUUUCUAGCUUCCCGACUUUCCUCCUUUGCCUCAGUGCCGCCUCUGGGAUUUUUAUAGUUCCAUGAAGGCGUAAGCUUUCAUCAAACCAUAGAUCUAGAGCGCGUGGUGGAAUGGGGAAUCUAACCCUAAGAAUAACCUGGGUCGGUUAUGUGCCACACUAUCGCACGAGCUUCGCGGUCCGAGCAUGGCGGGAGUACUGAUUAGUUCCGUCGAUCCGUUCAGGACUCGAAAGAAUGAAGAGUACCCGAUGUCCAGAGUCCUACGGACAACAAAAGACGGUUUACCAUGCGUUCAAGCCUCUGAAAGGAGCACGCGUCGGUUUACCAAUGCUGGGCGUUACAUGCCGGUCACAGAGGAUGAUCUGUCUAUGCUUGAAUGCUAGGGGAUGUCCAAGAGCGAGAGAAUGUGGAACAUGUCGGACGCCUCCGGGAUGAGGCCGUCUUUGGGUUUCGUGACGGUAAUAUCGCUGGGAUUUCUACGGGAGACGUGAACUGUUAGCGGGACCAUUGCGCGCCACAUGAUAAGCCUUUGAACACAACAGUUGGUCGCUGGACUUGUGCCUACGCUCGGUCAUGAAGCUGGAUUAUUGAUAGAGUCCGCUCGUCGGAAUCAGGUUAAUUUAUCGGAAGGUAUCCAGGUCCUUUUGAUGACAUUAAUCUGCAGCGAGGCUCUUCGAUAUGUCCUGCGGAGUGAUUCCUGGUGGUUAUUACAGCCCGUGAUACCGCCGAUUCCCUGGCCUGUUGUCUCGUUCCAGUUAUUAUCAUCGUGUUCUGUGCAAUGGUCUCACUUGUGAACCAGCCACUGUCAUCCCCAUCCCAAUUACCAACGUCGACAUUCCCGCACAUGUUUCCUACCUCGAGUAGCCUGGGUACUCGUACCUUCUCUCCAACUCUGGACCCCUCGUGAUUCAUUCCAAGUGGAGGCUAGCAGACCCGCAAGCCGCGGCACCAGCCACAGGCUUGCGCCCUUUUCAGGGAUCCUGAUCGACCGCGUCAACCGUCUCUUUGCAAUGCACGAUUGCGAAUAGAUCGAUGGGCGCCGACAACUGCAAUGAUAUUCUUAUCAUUGCCCUCCUUACGGGGAGAAGGAAGCGGUUUUUUAUGGAUGUUAUUUGUCCGUUUCUCAAUGCCCUCCGAACCACGCGGAGAGGAAACAAAGACUUGUCCCGGGGGGCACUGUACCACACACGAGAGGUGAAGGCUUUGCGCUUGUGGAUCGUCAUGUUACAAGAUCGGCACAUUGGACGGGCCGUGAGGAGAUGGAACGCUUGGUCCAGGCCGUCUGAACCGAGAAGGUAGAAGCAUUCGGAAAUCUUCCACCUUGCAUAUUGUGAGGCCUCGAUCGAUGCAGCUUGUCGCGUUCGGAGCUAUGCUAGCUAUUCUGGCCGGUCAGUCUGUAUCCCAUGGUUACCUGAAACACACGCCUUGUGCAGGAUGCGCAAUUUCUCUCGGAAUCAGCAAUUUGCGUAACGGAUGCCAGACACAGGUGGUUCUCCCCUCCGCUGCAGAGAUCCAUUUACUGUCCACUCGGUUGAUUGAUGACAUUGUUGUUUUCUCUGUUGGGCUCUAGAAUAUGUUCGAUGAGGGGUAUAUUGUGGGACUCCCGAACGGGAGGAUCAAAGCCCAGGCUUGUCCGCAUUGCCUCGUCAUCGGGGUACUUCUUACCACUUUGAGGCAAGCAAUACGCAUCGUUCACGGAUCGGUUGGAUGAGUAGCGAAGAGAACGUACUUGGGCUGAAGUGCUAGGCGCUGUUGCAUGGUUUCCAGGGCUCGCGCCUGCAUCGGAGCAUUUGUGCUAGCCUUGCGGCUUGGGGACUGAACGUUUCAGAGUUGGCAUAUGCCUCGAACCGCCGUUUCCUCCUUGAGGAAACGGCCUCUUUUUUUCCU